rnacentral:rRNA from 1 species
GAUAAACGCUGGCGGCGUGCCUAACACAUGCAAGUCGAACGUCCUGUGUCUUUCGGGAUGCAGGGAGUGGCGGACGGGUGAGUAACACGUGGGUACCUACCCCCGAGUGAGGACUACCGGCGAGAAAUCGCCGACAAUGCCGCAUACGCUUGCUUGCGCAAGCAAAGCUCUUUGCGGAGAGCGCUCGAGGAUGGGCCUGCGUCCGAUUAGCUGGUUGGUGAGGUAACGGCUCACCAAGGCGACGAUCGGUCGCUGGUCUGAGAGGAUGAUCAGCCAC